rnacentral:sRNA from 1 species
GACGUUUUGAAAUUCGGGAUUGCCCCUCACCCUAACCCUCUCCCCGCAGGCGGGGAGAGGGGACUGGAGCGGUGCGGCAUAUCCCUUCUCCCCGCAGGCGGGGAGAAGCGCAACCAUUAGACU